GACCCAAAGGCAGUUUUAGUAUCAUUUGUGUCCCCAUGGAAAUUAGAAACGGG
rnacentral:sRNA from 15 species